rnacentral:rRNA from 1 species
UACAGAGGGGGCAAGCGUUAUCCGGAUUCACUGGGUUUAAAGGGUGCGUAGGUGGGUUGGUAAGUCAGUGGUGAAAUCCCCGAGCUUAACUUGGGAACUGCCAUUGAUACUAUCAGUCUUGAAUACCGUGGAGGUCAGCGGAAUAUGUCAUGUAGCGGUGAAAUGCUUAGAUAUGACAUAGAACACCAAUUGCGAAGGCAGCUGGCUACUCGGAUAUUGACACUGAGGCACGAAAGCGUGGGGAUCAAACAGG